CAUGGCCCAAAAGCACAUGCCUUACAGUUGUUUUAAUGAAAAGGUUUAUACACAUUUUUUUUUCUUUUCAGAUCCUGUUUCUAAACCCAGAGUGACCUGUAAAAAGAAUGUCACAAAUAUUACACUCAAGUGUACAAUGGACUCUUCAGCACAAGCAAACUUUAAAUGGAAAGGGCCUGAUGGCUUCUCUCAUGUUGGGGACAGUGUCCAUAUCACCAAUCCGGAAACUAAAGACUUGUAUUUCUGCACUGCAACAAAUGAAGUGAGCGAAGAGACUGCAGAGUUUAAACUUACGGACUGCCCUGGUCAAGAAGCUGAAGACUUGUAUUUCUGCACUGCAAAAAUUGAUUGAACGAAGACUAUAGACUACUGUAAUGCUCUCUACACUGGAAUUAAUCAAUCACUCCUUAAUCGGCUUCACUUGGUACAAAAUGCGGCAACACGUCUUCUCUCUAACACCUCCAAACGCUCACACCUGAUCACCCCUGUCCUCCACUCGCUUCACUGGCUUCCGGUGCGGCUAUUAGGUCCUGCUGUUCGUGUUUAAGGCCAUCAAUGGUCUGGCCCAACAGUCUACCAACCAGCCAGAACUCUCCGUUCCUCUGAACACACCUCUCUGGUCACUCCCAAGUUCAAAUAUAAAAAGUUUGGAGGCUGAAUGUUUUUAAAUCGCAGUUGAAAACACAUUUUUUUCAUACAAGCUUUUAACACGUAGCCUCUGAUUCGACUGCUAUUUUAUGUACACCGUGUUAUAUUUUAUUGUCUAUUGAUGGUUUUACUGGAAAGCGCCUUGUGCUCCUUUUGGUUGUUGUAAGCCGCUCUAUAAAUAAAAUUUGAUUGAUUGAAGA